AUCACACCAUUGCACUCCAGCCUGGGCAAAAAGAGGGAAACUCCAUCUCAAAAAAUAAAAAUAAAGCUCUACAAAAGCUAGUAAUCAUUUUGUAAUGUAAAACGUCCCCUUAGGGUGUUAAAUGCACAUACUUUUUACACCAUUUUAAAAAAUCAAGUCCUACCUGGACAUUGAUCUGUAGCUGAUUACAACCCUGGUGAUAAAAUAAUCCCAAAGUGUUUGAAAGGCUUAGGAGUGUUUUACAAGCAUGUUUGGGGUAGAGCAUGCCUUUUAAGUUUUUGUUCCUCUUUGAGGUACAGUCUGAGUACUGGAGCUGUGUGUGGAAUAUCCUCGUGCUUGAAUCAUUCCACUAAUACAGCGGAGAAAAAACAUUCCCCCUUCAUCUCCCCUCGUCCAUCAUCUGAGGUUCUAGUGUUGAAGUAAGAGCAGUGAAAGCAAGCAAGAGUAAGGAAAGUAAGAACUAAUAUUCACUGGGUGCUCACUAAAUGUUUUGUCUAGUUUUUCCUCACCAUCCAUAGCCCUGUGAGGGAGGUGUAAUGAUUCAUGUUUUUACAAUGAAGGAUCAGAGAAGAAAGCAAGCUGGGGAAACUGAGCAAGAUCAUCUGGCUAGUAAGAAAUUGGAGUUGAAGCCAGGUCUCCCUGACCCAUGAGCCCAAACUUUCAGUGCAUGGGAUAGGUCUACAUUAGCAUUUCUUAACUGCUCUCUCCAAGGAGGUAUUUGGCAAUGUCUGGAGACUUUUUGGCUGUCACAUUGUGGGGAUGGGGUUGGGGUGGGGGUGGAAAUGCUGCCUGGUAUCUAGUGGGGAUAGGCCAAAGAUGCUGUUAACCAUCCUCCAGUGCACAGGACAGCCCCCACAGACAACAAAGAAUGACCCGUCCCAAAUGUCAAUAGCACUGAGGCCAAGAGAGCCCAGUCUGUGUUAAGAACGGGAAGAGGACAGGCCUCCCCCGCAAGUGCAACUUGUUCUUCCGUAGAGUGGCCUAUCUCAUUUCCUGAGAAUCUCUAUAAAACCUAGUUUGAAAAUAAUUUCAGAGCUUUGGAAAACCAGAGACUUCAUAUACAAAAAAGAAAUUAUAUUUGAAAUAAUUAACUUAAACAUCAACCAAGGACAUGGCUGUGACCUUCGUGUGUGUGUGUGUGUGUGUGUGUGUGUGAGACAGAGAGAGAGAGAGAGAGAGAGAGAGAGAGAGAGAGAGAGACAGAGACACAGGGGGGAUCUUAAGGCUUGCAGCAAGUGGAAUGAUACCAUUUGAGUCUUUAAGUCUGAUUUCAAAUAGAGUGUUGGAUUUGGGAUUAGAUAUUUGCCAAAGAUCAACUACUCAGUGUUUAAACGGGUAUUACAUAAAAAGACAAUAACAAAUUUGAUCAGUACUAAGUUCUAAAUCUGUGCUCUGUAUAGUAAAAUUAUACGGGAGAGAGAGAGAGAGAACAAUUUUAAUAGUGACCAUGAACACAAAACUUUUGUGAUUGUGAUGCCAAAUCUCUAUAAACAAGUGAUUGCAUUCUUACCUUAUUUUGCAAUUUCUACCUUUUAUGAUAAGAAAUCACUUCUAGGGGUUUCUUAUACAAAUUUUGAGGAAAAACUCAGAUCCCCUGACUUGGGGCUAUUGGUUUUUCUGCACUCUUUUUAAAACACUUAUUUAAAACUUCCCCUUUUGGAGCCAGAGAGCCAGUUAUUGGUCCUUGCAGCAUGUCAGAUUGUUAAGCAAUUUCUCAGGUUCAAUAAGACAAGAUAUAGUGUGUCCUGCUUCCUAUAAAAAAAAAAAAAAGAAAAAACCACGAGUGUCGUUUGGAGUGUUCCACAUUGACGACUGGCUGAGUGUGUGUGUAAACAACAGCUGCACCUUCCAGCUCUCUCAGGGUUAGACAUUCAAACAUACGAACUUUCAUUCAAGAGCCAUGGCUGGCUCCUAUAGACACUGUCUCCUUACUGGCAACCUUCAGACACAGCCCUUGGGACCAAGGAUGUGGUUGACAUUACCCACGCUGAAGAACAGGAGAUACGGUUGCUACUGGUCUGCAGUCAAGUCUGCAUAUGAUGGGCUAGGGUGCCCGUGUGUGGAUGUGUGCAGCUCCGGUCCGUAUCCAGGGACACAAAUCAUGAUCAAAGUUAAAUUUUUAUCGGGAGUAGCUGAAAAGCACUAUACAUUUCUCAAGUGUGGUGACAAAAAGCAAAAGAGAUUGUGCUGAGGAUCAAAUACUUUAUGCAAAGGAAGUGAAACAGGUUGCAUUUCUAAUUGAUGGGUUUUAACCCAGGCAGUCCUCUGGGCAUAUUUGGUUCCCUUGUCGAAUUUACAGAGGCAUAGUUAAUUCAGAACAGUAUCUGUGGCUGGCCCUCUCCCUGCAUCGCCCUUGAGCCCUCCCCUGGUUCCCAGCCUCUCAGGCUCACAGUGGAGGUGUGCUGCUGAGGAAACAAGGUCAAGCUGGCAGCCAGCACUCAUUUUGAAAGCCAUCCUCCAGUCCUACAGGAGAUGGUCCUUCAGGGCCCUUUGAAGGGCGGGCCUGGUCCUGGCUGUAAAUUGAGUGUCUCCACUUAGACCUUCUCAGUGAAAGAUGUUGGUCCUCAUCAGAACUGAGGUACUCACCUCUGCCUGUGCGCCCUGCACAGAGUGGUCCUGCUGGCCUUUGGUGGUCCAUUGCAGUGGCUGGGUUUGUGCUUAGUUAUGAGGGGUUCCACGAACAUCUUUCACCCUAUCACAUCCCGUAAGCACCAGUUCAAUAAACAUUGAAAAUGCCAGUAGGAAAAGCCUCACAAAUGCUGUACAAACAGGGGAAGGUUAAGUCAAAGUGGGGACAUGAUGGCAAAUGUUGCAGAACCUCAUUGGAGCAGUGCAUUCGGUGGUAUGUAUUAUUCCAGAAUACAGAGAGCAAAUUGGUGCUGUCCUACCCAAGUGCUCUAUACCCACCAGCCUGCAAAAUAGCUGACCUGAGAGAAGUAGAGUGACAUUUAGGGAGCAUCAAUUCAGAUGGCUCUUGGCUUGGAGAGGGUCACAGAGCCUAGUAGCUUUGUGGACUUGCAGGCAGCCCCAAAAGCUCACCUAUAUGCAAAGUCAGCAUGGCCUCCCUCCCCUAGUAUUGUGAUCAGCUGCAUCUCUGUGGCCAGGGCUCUUGCUCGUCAUUCAGUCUGAUGUCUGAGUGGUUCUACCUUUUCUACAUGCUGAGACCAUAUUCUAGUGCUGUAUUCUGGAGGUACACCCAGUAGAUUCAAAGUAUUCUCAUAGAACAAAGAGACUUGUAUAGUAACCUUUGCUGCAUCCACAGUAUACUCCACAGAGGCCUCUGAGCUAAAAAUGAAUGCAGAAGCAAGAAGGGAACAGGUGAUGUUCAGCUUUCAGAUCCCACAUGACAUUUAUUUGGCUUGGGGUGCCCCCUUCCCCCCAUUCCCUGGCUGUGGGCUCAUGGAUUGGAAGAGCCUGGUUAUGGCUUCCAUUUUACUUCCAUUUUCCAAUAUCCAGAGGAAUGUACAAGCUACCAGAAAAUCAUGCUCAGGCAUCCCUUUGUCACAUUAAAAGCAUUAUGGACACAUGACAUUUUAUUAAGUAUUUUGUUUUAGUAUUACUUUAUUAUGUAAAUUAUCAAAAUCCUUAUUUAGCCAUGGACUCUUAUUAAAGCAUGGUCUUGGAAACCUUGGCCAAGGUUAAGAGCCUGCAAAGUUUGAUUCAUUACAAAAGAAAAAUGAUUAGCAGUUAGAGAGUGACAUUGAUGGGCCCCAUUAAAAGAUCAUUGGAUUUAGUGGUGGCAAGCGAAGGUUGGAGUUCGAGGUUAGCAGGAUGCCCUGAUUAGAACCAAGCUUACCUUUGUGUAACCUGUAGUGACACUCUCUUCGUCUCCCCAGGCUGAUUCAUGUCUCCCUGAAGUUCAUACUGUUUGGAAUUUCACAGACUCAUUUACCAAAAAAAAAAAAAGGCAUUUAAUUUGGGAGACUGCUUGAUUUUUCUUUUAUUAAUGAU